AUAAAAUCAGCGUUUGGUUUCAUUAGUAUUUAUUGGUAACAUACCAGCAUUUCUCCAGGCUAAUCAUCAGACACAGAGAGCCAUCCACAUGAUCCACCUUGAUAAAGAUUCUGGCAACACUUGAGUGGAAGAUGAAAACUAAAGUGAAUGUAAAGAGAUUCCAUGAGUCAGCCAUGCCAUGACUUGUAGUUUUGGCAUCAGCCUUUCAAAAUUGGGCGUUCCCCUGUGAUGUUUAAUUGGCUCUCGGAAACACAGUUUAAAACAAGUUUUGGACAUAGGCGCACGGAACAAAACCAGCUUCGGUGGGGAAUUCAUUCUGGCUGCAAAAAGAAGGUGGUGAGAGAAGCCUUCCUCAUGAGGCAUCAGAUGGAAGGAGGUCUGAACCAAAAAGCCAGGCCCACACCCUUUGAGGAUAUUUGAAAUCCACACCCAGAUCUGAACGUGAAUUGUGUAAGUGUCUUCUAACUUUAUAGUGGAUCGAUCCAAAAACCUGGAUCCAGAUACUCCUAAGUUUGGUGGCUUGGACUCAUGUCUGAUUGUAGUUAUCUAAACACCCUAGACAAAAUUAUUCAAGUGAGAACGAAAAUCCUUUCCCCAGAUUUACACCAAACCAUCUUUUCGCUUUGUAGGAAGCUUGGCAGCUUUUGGUAAGGCCUGGAAAAAAGAACGUGUCAAGAUCCCAACCAGGAAUGAAAACGAUAAUACAGCAAAGUAACUCAUCCAGCCCCCAUCAACGUCAACCUGCAAGAGAUUUUGUCUCCUGCUUAGAAGACACUAGCCUACACACACAAUCUUCAAAACCCGCUCUUCAGCUCUCAUUUACCUUUUCAAGUGCUUCACUGAAGCACAGAUUUACAAAAUACAGCCAUAUUAUCUUUUCAUUCAUUGUCAUGAACUUGACAUAUUCAUCUUUUAAGGUUUUACCAAAAGCUAUCAAGCUUCCUAUAAAAUGGGAAGGUGGUUUUAUAUAUAUAUAUAGAUCUGGAAAAGGGAUUUUUUCAUUUGGCCUCUGAACACUUUCAUGUGGGAUAUCCGGAUAAUUUAUGAUCAGAGAUAGGUCCAAGCCACCAGAUUUAAAAGUGUCUGUUUGCCCUAUAAACCUUAAAACUUGCAUCCAGGAACAAACAUCUGGGGAGUGUCCAGACUAGACUUUAAAAACACGUUAGCUACCAUGAGUUAACCUGCAAUCAGUUUAGAAGUAAAAGCGCUAGUGUAGACAUAUCCUGUGAGACUGCUGUUUACAACGAGACUUUCAUUUACAUGCUGAUGUGUGUACAUCAUUAAUACAUGCCACAUUCCUUGAAUUUCAAACAAACUUAUGGAAGCCGGCCAGCAAAAAGCACAAACUCAGAUUUUACCAGACUUUACAAAGACUGUUAGAUGAUGUACACUUCUUUUACUAACUAUGGACUGUGAAAAUACUUGUCCUGGGUAAAUUGCACAUCAGGGUGCAGUAUACAUACAACUCUUUAAGGUUUUGAUAAUAAAUGCAUGAAAAUAUUUGGGGAG
rnacentral:lncRNA from 1 species